rnacentral:rRNA from 1 species
GACGAACGCUGGCGGCGUGCUUAACACAUGCAAGUCGAACGAAGAGCGAUGGAAGCUUGCUUCUAUCAAUCUUAGUGGCGAACGGGUGAGUAACGCGUAAUCAACCUGCCCUUCAGAGGGGGGCAACAGUUGGAAACGACUGCUAAUACCGCAUACGAUCCAAUCUCGGCAUCGGGACUGGAUGAAAGGUGGCCUCUAUUUAUAAGCUAUCACUGAAGGAGGGGAUUGCGUCUGAUUAGCUAGUUGGAGGGGUAACGGCCCACCAAGGCGAUGAUCAGUAGCCGGUCUGAGAGGAUGAACGGCCACAUUGGGACUGAGACACGGCCCAGACUCCUACGGGAGGCAGCAGUGGGGAAUCUUCCGCAAUGGACGAAAGUCUGACGGAGCAACGCCGCGUGAGUGAUGACGGCCUUCGGGUUGUAAAGCUCUGUUAAUCGGGACGAAUGGUUCUUGUGCGAAUAGUGCGAGGAUUUGACGGUACCGGAAUAGAAAGCCACGGCUAACUACGUG